GACGAACGCUGGCGGCGUGCUUAACACAUGCAAGUCGAACGGGCCUUGUCCCCUUUUUUUUUGGGGGUGGGGUUAGUGGCGAACGGGUGAGUAACACGUGAGUAACCUGCCCCUCACUUCUGGAUAACCGCUUGAAAGGGUGGCUAAUACGGGGUGUUCUGGCCUGCUCGCAUGGGUGGGUUUGGAAAGAUUCGACCGGUUUGGUUGUUUUGGUGGGGGAUGGGCUCGCGGCCUAUCAGCUUGUUGGUGGGGUGAUGGCCUGCCAAGGCUUUGACGGGUAGCCGGCCUGAGAGGGGUGGCGGUCACACUGGGACUGAGACACGGCCCAGACUCCUACGGGAGGCAGCAGUGGGGAAUAUUGCACAAUGGGCGCAAGCCUGAUGCAGCGACGCCGCGUGAGGGAUGGAGGCCUUCGGGUUGUGAACGUCUUUCGCCAGUGAAGAAGGUCCUGCUCUUUGUGGUGGGGUUGACGGUAGCUGGGUUAAUGAAGCGCCGGCUAACUACGUG
rnacentral:rRNA from 1 species